GACGUAGGGGCGAGCGUUGUCCGGAUUCAUUGGGCGUAAAGCGCGCGCAGGCGGCUUGGUUAGUCGGAUGUGAAAAUCCGGGGCUCAACCCCGGACCUGCAUCCGAUACUGCCAGGCUAGAGGCAGGUAGGGGAGAACGGAAUUCCCGGUGUAGCGGUGAAAUGCGCAGAUAUCGGGAGGAACACCGGUGGCGAAGGCGGUCUCUGGCCUGUACUGACGCGAGGAGCGAA
rnacentral:rRNA from 1 species